UCUAAUAUGGCAGAACACAGUGCAAUGGAUUUAAACCCCAUAUAUAAAGUAAAAAUAAAUCUUUUUUUAGAA
rnacentral:tRNA from 1 species